rnacentral:rRNA from 1 species
UACGAAGGGGGCUAGCGUUGCUCGGAAUCACUGGGCGUAAAGGGUGCGUAGGCGGGUUUAGUUAGUCAGGGGUGAAAUCCUGGAGCUCAACUCCAGAACUGCCUUUGAUACUGAAGAUCUUGAGUCCGGGAGAGGUGAGUGGAACUGCGAGUGUAGAGGUGAAAUUCGUAGAUAUUCGCAAGAACACCAGUGGCGAAGGCGGCUCACUGGCCCGGUACUGACGCUGAGGCACGAAAGCGUGGGGAGCGAACAGG